UACAGAGGUCCCAAGCGUUGUUCGGAUUCAUUGGGCGUAAAGGGUGCGUAGGUGGUGCUGUAAGUCAGGUGUGAAAUCUCGGGGCUCAACCCCGAAACUGCACUUGAUACUGCAGUGCUGGAGGACUGGAGGGGAGAUCGGAAUUCAUGGUGUAGCAGUGAAAUGCGUAGAUAUCGGGAGGAACACCUGUGGCGAAAGCGGCUCACUGGACCACAACUGACGCUGAGGCGCGAAAGCUAGGGGAGCAAACAGG
rnacentral:rRNA from 1 species